rnacentral:rRNA from 1 species
UACGGAGGGGGCUAGCGUUGUUCGGAAUUACUGGGCGUAAAGCGCACGUAGGCGGCUUUGUAAGUUAGAGGUGAAAGCCCGGGGCUCAACUCCGGAAUUGCCUUUAAGACUGCAUCGCUAGAACGUCGGAGAGGUGAGUGGAAUUCCGAGUGUAGAGGUGAAAUUCGUAGAUAUUCGGAAGAACACCAGUGGCGAAGGCGACUCACUGGACGACUGUUGACGCUGAGGUGCGAAAGCGUGGGGAGCGAACAGG